GCUCCAGUGGCGCAAUCGGUCAGCGCGCGGUUCUUAUACAGCAGUACAGGUGGAGCAGUGCUGAGGUUGUGAGUUCAAGCCUCACCUGGAGCA